AUUGAACGCUGGCGGCAGGCCUAACACAUGCAAGUCGAACGAGUGGCGGACGGGUGAGUAAUGUCUGGGAACCUGCCCGAUGGAGGGGGAUAACUACUGGAAACGGUAGCUAAUACCGCAUACCAUCGGAUGUGCCCAGAUUGGAUUAGCUAGUGGGUGGGGUAACGGCUCACCUAGGCGACGCUCCCUAGCAGGUCUGAGAGGGUGACCAGCCACACUGGAACUGAGACACGGUCCAGACUCCUACGGGAGGCAGCAGUGGGGAAUAUUGGACAAUGGGCGAAAGCCUGAUGCAGCCAUGCCGCGUGUGUGAAGAAGGCCUUCGGGUUGUAAAGCACUGUCAUCGAGGAGGCGUUACUCGCAGAGGAAGCACCGGCUAACUCCGUGCCAGCAGCCGCGGUAAUUC
rnacentral:rRNA from 1 species